rnacentral:rRNA from 1 species
GGCCUGCGCGGAAGAUGUAACGGGGCUAAAACUAUGUGCCGAAGCUGCGGAUUUGACAUUAGUCAAGUGGUAGGGGAGCGUUCUGUAAGCCGAUGAAGGUGUAUUGAGAAGUAUGCUGGAGGUAUCAGAAGUGCGAAUGCUGACGUGAGUAACGACAAAACGGGUGAAAAACCCGUUCGCCGAAAGACCAAGGGUUCCAGUCCAACGUUAAUCGGGGCUGGGUGAGUCGACCCCUAAGGCGAGGCCGAAAGGCGUAGUCGAUGGGAAAAUGGUUAAUAUUCCAUUACUUCUGUGUAAUGCGAUGAGAGGACGGAGAAGGCUAAAUCAGCCUGGCGUUGGUUGUCCAGGUGAAAGGAUGUAGGCAUGUAUCUUAGGCAAAUCCGGGGUACUCUAUGCUGAGAUCUGAUAGCAAGCUGUACUUGUACAGCGAAGUGGUUGAUGCCAUGCUUCCAGGAAAAGUCUCUAAGCUUCAGUUACACAGGAAUCGUACCCGAAACCGACACAGGUGGUCAGGUCGAGUAGACCAAGGCGCUUGAGAGAACUCUGCUGAAGGAACUAGGCAAAAUGGUACCGUAACUUCGGGAGAAGGUACGCUGUUGUUGGUGAUGGAACUCGCUUCCUGAGCUGACGACAGCCGCAGAAACCAGGCCGCUGCAACUGUUUAUUAAAAACAUAGCACUCUGCAAACACGAAAGUGGACGUAUAGGGUGUGAUGCCUGCCCGGUGCUGGAAGGUUAAUUGAUGGGGUUAGCGUAAGCGAAGCUCUUGAUCGAAGCCCCAGUAAACGGCGGCCGUAACUAUAACGGUCCUAAGGUAGCGAAAUUCCUUGUCGGGUAAGUUCCGACCUGCACGAAUGGCAUAAUGAUGGCGGCGCUGUCUCCAGCAGAGGCUCAGUGAAAUCGAAAUCGCUGUGAAGAUGCAGUGUACCCGCGGCUAGACGGAAAGACCCCGUGAACCUUUACUGCAGCUUGACACUGAACUUUGACCUUACUUGUGUAGGAUAGGUGGGAGGCUUUGAAGCUGGAACGCUAGUUCCAGUGGAGCCGUCCUUGAAAUACCACCCUGGUAAUGUUGAGGUUCUAACUCUGUCCCGUGAUCCGGGACGAGGACCGUGUCUGGUGGGUAGUUUGACUGGGGCGGUCUCCUCCUAAAGAGUAACGGAGGAGUACGAAGGUGCGCUCAGCGUGGUCGGAAAUCACGCGUAGAGUAUAAAGGCAAAAGCGCGCUUAACUGCGAGACCCACAAGUCGAGCAGGUACGAAAGUAGGUCUUAGUGAUCCGGUGGUUCUGUAUGGAAGGGCCAUCGCUCAACGGAUAAAAGGUACUCUGGGGAUAACAGGCUGAUACCGCCCAAGAGUUCAUAUCGACGGCGGUGUUUGGCACCUCGAUGUCGGCUCAUCUCAUCCUGGGGCUGAAGCAGGUCCCAAGGGUAUGGCUGUUCGCCAUUUAAAGAGGUACGCGAGCUGGGUUUAGAACGUCGUGAGACAGUUCGGUCCCUAUCUACCGUGGGCGCUGGAAAUUUGAGAGGAUCUGCUCCUAGUACGAGAGGACCAGAGUGGACGAACCUCUGGUGUACCGGUUGUGACGCCAGUCGCAUCGCCGGGUAGCUAUGUUCGGAAGGG